AGAAAUAUGAAUAUCUGAGUGGUUCCUCACUAAAGCUAAGCAGGCCAGAGCCUGGUCAGUACACUGGUGGGAGACCAUUUGUGAAAAUGUAGCUUGCUGCUG
rnacentral:rRNA from 1 species